rnacentral:rRNA from 1 species
GAUGAACGCUGGCGGCGUGCCUAAUACAUGCAAGUCGAGCGAACAGAUGAGGAGCUUGCUCCUCUGACGUUAGCGGCGGACGGGUGAGUAACACGUGGAUAACCUACCUAUAAGACUGGGAUAACUUCGGGAAACCGGAGCUAAUACCGGAUAAUAUAUUGAACCGCAUGGUUCAAUAGUGAAAGACGGUUUUGCUGUCACUUAUAGAUGGAUCCGCGCCGCAUUAGCUAGUUGGUAAGGUAACGGCUUACCAAGGCGACGAUGCGUAGCCGACCUGAGAGGGUGAUCGGCCACACUGGAACUGAGACACGGUCCAGACUCCUACGGGAGGCAGCAGUAGGGAACCUUCCGCAAUGGGCGAAAGCCUGACGGAGCAACGCCGCGUGAGUGAUGAAGGUCUUCGGAUCGUAAAACUCUGUUAUUAGGGAAGAACAAAUGUGUAAGUAACUAUGCACGUCUUGACGGUACCUAAUCAGAAAGCCACGGCUAACUACGUG